rnacentral:rRNA from 1 species
GACGGGGUAUGCAAGCGUUAUCGGGAAUUAUUGGGCGUAAAGGAUGCGUAGCUGGUCGUACAAGUCACAUGUCAAAGCAUGGUGCUUAACUCCAUAGAGGCGUGAGAAACUGUCGGACUAGAGUGCAGCAGGGGCGGAAGGAAUUCCCUGUGUAGCGGUGAAAUGCGUAGAUAUCGGGAAGACCACCAGUGGCGCAAGCGUUCUGCUGGGCUGUAACUGACGCUGAGGCAUGAAAGCUGGGGGAGCGAAACGG